GAAUGCUGACAUAAGUAACGAUAAAGCGGGUGAAAAGCCCGCUCGCCGGAAGACCAAGGGUUCCUGUCCAACGUUAAUCGGGGCAGGGUGAGUCGACCCCUAAGGCGAGGCCGAAAGGCGUAGUCGAUGGGAAACGGGUUAAUAUUCCCGUACUUGGUGUUACUGCGAAGGGGGGACGGAGAAGGCUAUGUUGGCCGGGCGACGGUUGUCCCGGUUUAAGCGUGUAGGCUGGUUUUCCAGGCAAAUCCGGAAAAUCAAGGCUGAGGCGUGAUGACGAGGCACUACGGUGCUGAAGCAACAAAUGCCCUGCUUCCAGGAAAAGCCUCUAAGCAUCAGGUAACAUCAAAUCGUACCCCAAACCGACACAGGUGGUCAGGUAGAGAAUACCAAGGCGCUUGAGAGAACUCGGGUGAAGGAACUAGGCAAAAUGGUGCCGUAACUUCGGGAGAAGGCACGCUGACACGUAGGUGAAGUGAUUUACUCAUGGAGCUGAAGUCAGUCGAAGAUACCAGCUGGCUGCAACUGUUUAUUAAAAACACAGCACUGUGCAAACACGAAAGUGGACGUAUACGGUGUGACGCCUGCCCGGUGCCGGAAGGUUAAUUGAUGGGGUCAGCGCAAGCGAAGCUCCUGAUCGAAGCCCCGGUAAACGGCGGCCGUAACUAUAACGGUCCUAAGGUAGCGAAAUUCCUUGUCGGGUAAGUUCCGACCUGCACGAAUGGCGUAAUGAUGGCCAGGCUGUCUCCACCCGAGACUCAGUGAAAUUGAACUCGCUGUGAAGAUGCAGUGUACCCGCGGCAAGACGGAAAGACCCCGUGAACCUUUACUAUAGCUUGACACUGAACAUUGAGCCUUGAUGUGUAGGAUAGGUGGGAGGCUUUGAAGUGUGGACGCCAGUCUGCAUGGAGCCGACCUUGAAAUACCACCCUUUAAUGUUUGAUGUUCUAACGUGGACCCGUUACCCGGGUUGCGGACAGUGUCUGGUGGGUAGUUUGACUGGGGCGGUCUCCUCCUAAAGAGUAACGGAGGAGCACGAAGGUUGGCUAAUCCUGGUCGGACAUCAGGAGGUUAGUGCAAUGGCAUAAGCCAGCUUGACUGCGAGCGUGACGGCGCGAGCAGGUGCGAAAGCAGGUCAUAGUGAUCCGGUGGUUCUGAAUGGAAGGGCCAUCGCUCAACGGAUAAAAGGUACUCCGGGGAUAACAGGCUGAUACCGCCCAAGAGUUCAUAUCGACGGCGGUGUUUGGCACCUCGAUGUCGGCUCAUCACAUCCUGGGGCUGAAGUAGGUCCCAAGGGUAUGGCUGUUCGCCAUUUAAAGUGGUACGCGAGCUGGGUUUAGAACGUCGUGAGACAGUUCGGUCCCUAUCUGCCGUGG
rnacentral:rRNA from 1 species